GAUGGUGAUUAUAGCUGAGAGGUUCCACUUGUUCCCAUUCCGAACACAAAAGUUAAGCUCUCACACGUCGACGAUAUUUGGCUGGAGACGGCCUGAGAAAAUAGAUCGUUGCCAUCA
rnacentral:rRNA from 1 species